rnacentral:rRNA from 1 species
GACAUAGGUGGCGAACGUUAUCCGGCUUUAUUGGGCGUAAAGGGUGCGUAGGCGGUGGCGUAAGUUGGAUGUGAAAUCCCGGAGCUUAACUCCGGAACUGCAUUCAAUACUGCGCUGCUAGAGUACUGGAGAGGAGAUUGGAAUUCACGGUGUAGCAGUGAAAUGCGUAGAUAUCGUGAGGAAGACCAGUGGCGAAGGCGAAUCUCUGGACAGUAACUGACGCUGAGGCACGAAGGCCAGGGGAGCAAACGGG